rnacentral:tRNA from 1 species
AGGUAUAGCGUAGCUGGUUAUCGCGUCGGAUUGUGGUUCCGAAGAUCAAGGGUUCGAAUCCCUUUACC